GUAUAUAACCACACACCCAAAACACGCACAAUAAUAGUUGACGGAUCGAAGCCCUAACUAGUACUGAAAAUGUGUUUCCGUCUUUCUAUCAAGCCAUAACGCCUCUCUCCCUAAAGCUUUUGCAGUUGGGCAUCAAAGAAAACCCUAACCCCUAAUGGUAACACGGCUCAAAGAAGAAACCCUAGGUCUGGAAUCCUCCUUUGGAGAAGCGAAGGCGUGCUAGGCGAUUUGCGGACAGCCGUUUCCGCUAGUUUUAAGAGGAAUAGAGCUUUCUCCCUCCAAAAAACUCGAAGAUAACAGCACUAGUAACGCUUGUUUGGGAGAGACGGAAUUUAAUUGACAACAUUUUCAGAUAAUUGUAGUGGAUCACCCAUUUUAAAGCUCUUGAAGGUCGUGGUUGCAUAAGAAGACCAGCUAAUAAGUUCCAGAAACACUCGACAUGAUUUUAGCUGACUAUAUAUAUAUAUUUUGUUGUAAUUUGAGAUAUUGAUUUUCAUUGUAAUUGAUCUUGAACUAAAAUUUGAAUUGUUAAUUGUUUGCAUUAAUGUGAAGUACAUGUUUAAGAAA